GCGAAGCUAAUCACUGAAUGUCCUACUACAAGGAUGUGGUCAGGUUGACACACUUCUGAGUCAAUAACACAGAUCACACACACCACAGAUUGCGAGGGCAAGUACAAUGAGCAGUUGGGAAAAUGAAGUCUGCUGUGUGGUUGCCCAAUAUACACACACACACAAACACACACUUAAUUUAGGUUAGUGUGUAGUCGAGGCUUUGUCAUUAAAAUAAUAUUGUGCCUAUCUUUCAGAUCUGCCAACCAGGCUCGGUGGGUGACAGGUAACCGUGUUUCAAUCAAUCUGUUCCAGGCCUGGAGUGACACGCUGAAACUUCCAGAGGCUUGUAGACCUGAAGCAGUGUGAUGUGGUCCAGAAAAUGGUCACACACACACUUAUACUCACUCAAUCACUCACUCUAUUUUGUUGUAUAAUUAUUUUCACUUAAGAAAAUUGUGCCUCUCUCUUUUAGAUAUGACACCCCUAUUAGCUCAACCACAGCCCUCACAGCUGCAGUCGUCUGCCCCUGCACCUGCUACACCGGCCGCGACAGGUGAUACAGAUCUGCCACCCCCCAGCAGUUCAGCUGCAGUUACAGUAGUCCUGUGGUAUUUAAUUUACCGGCUGCACCAGUUCCUACUACACUGGCCGUGAAGGGAGAACCUUUUGAGGAUUCCCAGAUGGAUACCGAUCUGCCAUGCACUCCACCACUGCCCAGAAGUGCAUACACUGGGCCUAUCAAGACUGACAAAGCAGAGAUGGGUGGCUGACAAGGAAAAAUAAAACACAACAUGCACACACACUCUAUCCCCAAUGUAAAUAAAUUGUAAUUACUUGUUUA